rnacentral:sRNA from 1 species
AGCUAGCUUUGCAAUAUGGCGGCCGAGGUGGAUGGACCGCUUAAACGGCUGCUCGUGCCGAUUCUUUUACCUGAGAAAUGCUACGACCAACUUUUCGUUCAGUGGGACUUGCUUCACGUCCCCUGCCUCAAGAUUCUCCUCAGCAAAGGCCUGGGGCUGGGCAUUGUGGCUGGCUCACUUCUAGUAAAGCUGCCCCAGGUGUUUAAAAUCCUGGGAGCCAAGAGUGCCGAAGGGUUGAGUCUCCAGUCUGUAAUGCUGGAGCUAGUGGCAUUGACUGGGACCAUGGUCUACAGCAUCACUAACAACUUCCCAUUCAGGCCCGCCUUUCUUCCUCCCAACUCUUGACUCUGCAGCUCUUGGGGUGAAGCCUUAUUCCUGAUGCUCCAGACGAUCACCAUCUGCUUCCUGGUCAUGCAUUACAGAGGACAGACUGUGAAAGGUGCUGGGGACUUACCCAAGAGCAGGCUGUGUGGUUCCUGGGAACCCUGCUGGGAACUCAGGCCUGGGAAAGCCAAAUGAUGUGGGGAGAUUGACAAGGACUCCUGUCUCCCCACCCCUAGGUGUCGCUUUCCUCGCUUGCUACGGCCUGGUCCUUCUGGUGCUUCUCUCACCUCUGACGCCCUUGACUGUAGUCACCCUGCUCCAGGCCUCCAAUGUGCCUGCUGUGGUGGUGGGGAGGGUGGGUACCAGGAGCAAGGGACAAGAUGUUGGGGGGGCAGGGUGGAGGGGAAGAGUGGAAGAUCAAAGUGUGGGGGUGUUGGACUUGGGGGAGCAUGGGAAGAGCUCAGGUGACAGAGCCAAAGGUCUCAACUCCUCCCCUAGCUUCUCCAGGCAGCCACCAACUACCACAAUGGGCACACAGG